UCUCCUCAUUUCCCAUCUGCGAGCCCUAGCCCCUCUCCUCAUUUCCUAUCUGCGAGCGCGCCGACUUCCCCGCUGCCGUCGACCUCUCCUUCUGAGCCCCGAUCGGCGAUCGAAGACUCCGCUACUCCGCCGCCGUCGAACUUGCCGUCGUCUUUGCGCCGACAUCUCACCUCCAUCCCGAGCGAGCCGUAGCUACUCCGCCGCCGUCGACAUCGCCGUCGUCUGAGGUAAGUGAUCCUCAUACUCUCCGUAA